rnacentral:lncRNA from 1 species
ACAAACGUUAAAUAUAUUGUAAAAUAAUAGGCUAUUCUAAUAGAAGACUAAAUUAAAAUUGAAUUAAAAUAAGCGGGAUAAUUUGAAAAUAGAAGAAAUCCCAAAAUAAGGACCAGCGCGCAACAUGUGCUAAUGCGCAAGGACCAAAUCUGGAAAUAUUCCAGACCCCAAAACGCAGCAUCGAAGCGCGAACCAGAUCGAAUUCAUGCACAAAUUAUAGGAAACAUUUAGAAAUUAAUGAGACACCGUUAUAAGCUAAUUGAAAUGCGGCGCGAAAGGGGAGGGACUUAUAUCGGAAAUAACCCAUUUGAAUCACAAAGGCGCGGGUUUGGGUUCUGGAAUGGGUCGACGCGCGGAUCCCCUCCCCCCUAAACGACGUCGUUUCGUUUUGUUAUCAAAACUAAAAAAAUGAAUGGUAAUCUGCUAUUCUCUUCAGCAAUUGAAUCAAAACCCUAAUCCCUCAUGUUUUUCCUCGCUUGGCCGACAAAAGAACCAAAACCUUAGCCAUUUUGAUUCUCAUCGGAUCUAACCGAAAAACUCACACUCAUCACCAUGACACCACUGUAUUUGAUGAUUGGCGAUGAAUAUAUGCCCCUCUUUUACACCGUUUGAAACCACAACUCGUGGAUUACCGAUUUUAACUUUGAAAUCCCAUAUCAAGCUCCGAUCGCGACGAAGGAGAUAGUGACUCCGACGGUGUAUUUUCGAUGGUAAACCCUUCCUCCUCUGUAUUUUUAUGCGAAAACAAAAAUAUACAGGACAAAAAAAAAGGCAAAUCGCAAAAACUAAAGAAAAAAAAUCACCUUCUAAUUUUUUUGGAUUGCUUUUCUUGUAUUUCGUUUGCCUAUUUUCAAUGUGUGUGUAAAAAAUUUACAAUGGCAGUAUUCUUGGCUUUAUAGCCGAAACAGAGUAAAAACCGAAAAAAGAAAAUACAAAUCGAUUGGUUCUGCCUCUUUGCUGUGCUGUUGUUGUCUGUUUCUUCGCAGGUACGGAGCCCCGUUGGAGCGGUGGUACGUGGCGCUUGGCGUGGGGCGUACGGGGGCUGUGUGCUGGAGGCUGCUGAAGCGUUAGAGGCUAAGGGCUGCGGCGCUAGGAAACCCUAGGUUUCCGUUUGGCUGAACCUAGGUCUAGGUUUUGGGCCAUUGGGCCUUUUAGGCAUUGGGUUAUUUGAUUAGGCUAGGUUGUUUUGUAAAUGGGCUUGUAACUGGGCUAUUGGGUCUGAUAUGUAAUGGACUGAUAAUUAGAUUUUUUAUUAUUUGGUUUUUUUUAUAUUUUGUAUUUUGGUUCUUCUUUGGGCCUAGGCAAAAAUGGCCCAUUACAAUUAUUAUUUUAUUGUAUUCUAAAAAUAAAUGACAUCAAUUUAAACUGAAAGAAUUUCUUUUACUUCAUUUAUUAUGUUGAAAAUAUAAAUUCAAUUUAUUUGAAAAAGGGAGAUGUUUAUAACUGUUUAUAUAUUUUUUAAAAUUUUCAUAAAUUUAUAUUCGUAAAACUCUUUUAUAUUUUUACUUCGUUUAUUAUGAGAUUUGAACUCAA